GAUGAACGCUAGCGGGAGGCUUAACACAUGCAAGCCGAGGGGUAUAGUUAGCUUGCUAACUAGAGACCGGCGCACGGGUGCGUAACGCGUAUGCAACUUGCCCUACUGAAAAGGAUAGCCCUUCGAAAGGAGGAUUAAUACUUUAUAAUAGAAAUCAUGGCAUCAUGAAUUUUUGAAAGAUUUAUCGCAGUAGGAUAGGCAUGCGUAAGAUUAGUUAGUUGGUGAGGUAACGGCUCACCAAGACGAUGAUCUUUAGGGGGCCUGAGAGGGUGAACCCCCACACUGGUACUGAGACACGGACCAGACUCCUACGGGAGGCAGCAGUGAGGAAUAUUGGACAAUGGGUGGAAGCCUGAUCCAGCCGUCCCGCGUGUAGGAUGACGGCCUUAUGGGUUGUAAACUACUUUUAUCUGGGGAUAAACCUACUUACGUGUAAGUAGCUGAAGGUACCAGAAGAAUAAGCACCGGCUAACUCCGUGCCAGCCGCCGCCGUAACAC
rnacentral:rRNA from 1 species